AAGUGGGUGCGGCCGAGUUCGCGCAGGGGCGGGGCCGGGCGCCGGGGCUGGGCGGUGUCCCCGGGGGGCUCCGGGCUCCUCGAGGGCCUCUCCGGGGACACGAGGAAAACGACCUUCUUUUCCCUUGCAGUGGCGGGGGAGGGCGAAGUGGAAGACCGCUGCUCGGUUCCGUAUCCAAAAGGGACCCAAGGCUACAGGCAAAAUAGAUUGGACAUUUUCACUUUCUCAAGCCAGGGCCACCGGUCGCCCAACCAACAGCCACUGAGGGUGGUAUCGGAGCGCCCCUUCCCCUGGCAGCGUAUUUCAGCCCCCAGAAACAUCCCCCACCUCGGCCAUCCCCAGCGCCUUUGCAGGGACAGCAGCACAACCAUAGCAGAGGUUUUAGGCACCCUGGGAAUAAUGUGCUGGUGUAAAUGUUGGAUUGAGAAAUGAAAAAGCAUUUGGGAUCAAUCUGAGGACCUCUCGUUUGACACGGGAGGAAACACCAGGCCGCAGCGUUGGGGGAAGCUGCUUCCUUUCUCUUCUUUCUCUUUCUCUCUCAGGUGCUUUCUCUCUCUCUCCCCCCCCCCCUCUGUCUCUGUCUCUGUCUCUCUUCCUCCUUGUGGCUAGGUGAUCUGGCUCAGAAGUGCACGUUGGUCCGCGCCUGCAGGGAGCUGAAAAGGAAAAGACUGGACCUAUGCACGUGUCAAGCAAGGUUUGGCCUGCUUUGAAGACAGUGAUUUCAGAGCCACUCCAGUCUCUGCGUCACAAGCAAGCAUCACGGCAGUGGUGGGGCGGCAGGUGAUCCUGAGACCUCCUAUGCCAUCUCUAUGGCCCCGGUGCUUCUGGACAGAAGUGUGCCGCAGCCAGUGUGGAGAACAUGGGGCAGGAGAGAGGAAGAACCAGGUGUCCCCAUGCCCCAGACCAGUGCUGAUGUGCUACCAGAAACGGGUUUGCAAGAUUAAUCACCCUCCUCCUGCUUCCCCUGAAUUCUAAUUAUUGUUGCGAGGAUCUGUUGAAGUAGUAAAAGCUGCUGGCAACCAAGACACAUAAAAGCUAAACUCCAGUUGCUGUGUGUAGUUUCCAACACUUAUUUAUUAUCUCUGUUUAAUAAUAAACCUG